ACGUAGGUGGCAAGCGUUGUCCGGAAUAACUGGGCGUAAAGCGCAUGUAGACGGCAUAGCAAGCCAAGUGUGAAAUUUAGGGGCUUAACCUCUAAACUGCGCUUGGAACUGCUGAGCUUGAGUGCAGGAGAGGCAAGUGGAAUUCCCAGUGUAGCAGUGAAAUGCGUCGAUAUUGGGAGGAACACCAGUGGCGAAGGCGACGUGCUGGGCUGCAACUGCCAUUGGGAGGCGAAAGCUAGUGGAGAAAACGG
rnacentral:rRNA from 1 species